rnacentral:rRNA from 1 species
UACGGGAGGCAGCAGAAGGGAAUCUUCCACAAUGGGCGAAAGCCUGAUGGAGCAACGCCGCGUGAGUGAAGAAGGUUUUCGGAUCGUAAAACUCUGUUGUAAGGGAAGAACAAGUACAGUAGUAACUGGUUGUACCUUGACGGUACCUUAUUAGAAAGCCACGGCUAACUACGUGCCAGCAGCCGCGGUAAUAAU